rnacentral:rRNA from 1 species
CCUGGGGAGUACGGCCGCAAGGUUAAAACUCAAAUGAAUUGACGGGGGCCCGCACAAGCGGUGGAGCAUGUGGUUUAAUUCGAUGCAACGCGAAGAACCUUACCUGGUCUUGACAUCCACAGAACUUAGCAGAGAUGGAUUGGUGCCUUCGGGAACUGUGAGACAGGUGCUGCAUGGCUGUCGUCAGCUCGUGUUGUGAAAUGUUGGGUUAAGUCCCGCAACGAGCGCAACCCUUAUCCUUUGUUGCCAGCGGUCCGGCCGGGAAC